CAAUGGUCCUGCUGGAUUUUCAAGCUAGGAGGAAGCAAUAGUUCAAUAUGCUGUGAUAAAGUUAUUCACAGAUCAGUGGGUUUUCCGGCUAAUACAGGUCCUGAUGCUCUUCUGUCUUCACACAUGGUAUUCAUCAUAUCUUGACAAGAAAAGACCUUCAGUCUACAAAUAACCUUCACUGAAGUAAGACAUGUUCACAAUCUACUUCUGAGCUACAGAAGGUCAGAAAUGAAAGAUUUAAAAAAUAUUGGGAGCACGUCUAUGGACGUCAUGGGUUCGAUAUAUGUUUGAAAACGUCUGCUUAUGACAGAGAUCAUCUUCCCCUCCUGGCAGCGCUAAAAAUAACGUCCAUC
rnacentral:lncRNA from 1 species